UACGGGGGGGAGCAAGCGUUGUUCGGAUUUACUGGGCGUAAAGGGCGCGUAGGCGGUCGUGACAAGUCACUUGUGAAAUCUCCGGGCUUAACUCGGAACGGUCAAGUGAUACUGUCGGACUAGAGUACAGAAGGGGCAACUGGAAUUCUCGGUGUAGCGGUGAAAUGCGUAGAUAUUAGGAGGAACACCGGUGGCGAAGGCGCCACUCUGGGCCGAAAACUGACGCUGAGGAGCGAAAGCAUGGGUAGCAAACAGG
rnacentral:rRNA from 1 species